rnacentral:rRNA from 1 species
CUGCAUGGCUGUCGUCAGCUCGUGUCGUGAGAGUGUUGGGUUAAGUCCCGUAACGAGCGCAACCCUGCCUUUAGUUGCCAGCAGUUCGGCUGGGCACUCUAAAGGGACUGCCGGUGUUAAACCGGAGGAAGGUGGGGGAUGACGUCAAGUCCUCAUGGCCUUUAUGACCAGGGCUACACACGUACUACAAUGGCCGAUACAAAGGGCAGCGACACUGCGAGGUGAAGCCAAUCCCGUAAAAUCGGUCUCAGUCCGGAUUGGAGUCUGCAACUCGACUCCAUGAAGUUGGAAUCGCUAGUAAUCGUGGAUCAGCAUGCCACGGUGAAUACGUUCCCGGGCCUU